rnacentral:rRNA from 1 species
GACGAACGCUGGCGGCGUGCUUAACACAUGCAAGUCGAACGGAAAGGCCCUGCUUUUGUGGGGUGCUCGAGUGGCGAACGGGUGAGUAACACGUGAGUAACCUGCCCUUGACUUUGGGAUAACUUCAGGAAACUGGGGCUAAUACCGGAUAGGAGCUCCUGCUGCAUGGUGGGGGUUGGAAAGUUUCGGCGGUUGGGGAUGGACUCGCGGCUUAUCAGCUUGUUGGUGGGGUAGUGGCUUACCAAGGCUUUGACGGGUAGCCGGCCUGGGAGGGUGACCGGCCACAUUGGGACUGAGAUACGGCGCAGACGCCUACGGGAGGCAGCAGUGGGGAAUAUUGCACAAUGGGCGGAAGCCUGAUGCAGCAACGCCGCGUGCGGGAUGACGGCCUUCGGGUUGUAAACCGCUUUCGCCUGUGACGAAGCGUGAGUGACGGUAAUGGGUAAAGAAGCACCGGCUAACUACGUG